rnacentral:misc_RNA from 1 species
GGAACUGGGUCUGUUUAAAUUGAUUGCCCCUAUCUAGAGUAGACAAAGGCAAGAAACGUAUGUGUAUCUCCUCUUACGAGAAGUCACUAUGCUUAUUACUGCUCUGCUCUUAGGGAUUCAUAACCUAUAAGUCUAGUAUUCUUCGGAAUCUAGUCUUGAACCAUGGUCUCAAAUCAAGUAGGAAGACCCGCUGAACUUAA